rnacentral:rRNA from 1 species
UACGAAGGGGGCUAGCGUUGCUCGAAAUCACUGGGCGUAAAGCGCACGUAGGCGGAUCUUUAAGUCAGGGGUGAAAUCCCAAGGCUCAACCUUGGAACUGCCUUUGAUACUGGGGAUCUCGAGUCCGGAAGAGGUUGGUGGAACUGCGAGUGUAGAGGUGAAAUUCGUAGAUAUUCGCAAGAACACCAGUGGCGAAGGCGGCCAACUGGUCCGGUACUGACGCUGAGGUGCGAAAAGCGUGGGGAGCAAACAGGG